rnacentral:rRNA from 1 species
AACGAACGCUGGCGGCAGGCUUAACACAUGCAAGUCGAACGCUCGUAGCAAUACGGGAGUGGCGGACGGGUGAGUAACGCGUGGGAACGUGCCCUGAGGUACGGAAUAACUGCGGGAAACUGCAGCUAAUACCGUAUGAGCCCCGUGAGGGGGAAAGAUUUAUCGCCUUAGGAGCGGCCCGCGUCGGAUUAGCUAGUUGGUGGGGUAACGGCUUACCAAGGCUUCGAUCCGUAGCUGGUCUGAGAGGACGAUCAGCCACACUGGGACUGAGACACGGCCCAGACUCCUACGGGAGGCAGCAGUGGGGAAUCUUGCGCAAUGGGGGCAACCCUGACGCAGCCAUGCCGCGUGAAUGAUGAAGGCCUUAGGGUUGUAAAGUUCUUUUGCCCGUGACGAUGAUGACGGUAACGGGAGAAUAAGCUCCGGCUAACUUCGUG